rnacentral:rRNA from 1 species
UACGGGGGGUGCGAGCGUUGUCCGGAAUCACUGGGCGUAAAGGGCGCGUAGGUGGUCUUGUAAGUCUGUGGUGAAAGCCCGGGGCUCAACCCCGGGUCUGCCGCGGAUACUGCGAGACUUGAGUACUGUAGAGGCAGGUAGAAUAUCGGGUGUAGCGGUGGAAUGCGUAGAGAUCCGAUAGAAGACCGGUGGCGAAGGCGGCCUGCUGGGCAGUAACUGACACUGAGGCGCGACAGCGUGGGGAGCAAACAGG